GGGACAAUCUGGCUGUGCCAUCUGCCAACCCACUGAGAACCAGAGUGGGUUUGGCCGAUCUGGCUGUCAGGGCAGACCCUCUCCUUCCC
rnacentral:snRNA from 1 species